UCUGGGAGUAGAGGAGCAAAGAUCAUUAGUAAGUAAAUGGAGAAACGUGAGUUUCUUUGAAGUUUACUGAAAGGGGAAUUUGCCGAAGCUAAGGCAUGCUCACGCAGUCAAGGCUGGUCUUACAUUGAACAAAUGUAUGGCUGUCAUAUAAGGACAACCUUAUAUGGAGGGCUAUCUCACGC
rnacentral:ncRNA from 2 species